AAGCCUGAUCCAGCCAUACCGCGUGGGUGAAGAAGGCCUUCGGGUUGUAAACUGCUUUUGUACGGAACGAAAAGCCUCUCUCUAAUACAGGGGGGUGAUGACGGUACCGUAAGAAUAAGCACCGGCUAACUACGUGCCAGCAGCCGCGGUAAUACGGAGGGGGCUAGCGUGCUCGGAAUCACUGGGCGUAAAGGGUGCGUAGGCGGGUUUCUAAGUCAGAGGUGAAAGCCUGGAGCUCAACUCCAGAACUGCCUUUGAUACUGGAAGUCUUGAGUUCGGGAGAGGUGAGUGGAACUGCGAGUGUAGAGGUGAAAUUCGUAGAUAUUCGCAAGAACACCAGUGGCGAAGGCGGCUCACUGGCCCGAUACUGACGCUGAGGCACGAAAGCGUGGGGAGCAAACA
rnacentral:rRNA from 1 species